rnacentral:rRNA from 1 species
GAUGAACGCUGGCGGCGUGCCUAAUACAUGCAAGUAGAACGCUGAAGGAGGAGCUUGCUCUUCUGGAUGAGUUGCGAACGGGUGAGUAACGCGUAGGUAACCUGCCUGGUAGCGGGGGAUAACUAUUGGAAACGAUAGCUAAUACCGCAUGACAACAGUUAUUGCAUGAUAACUGUUUAAAAGGGGCAACUGCUCCACUACCAGAUGGACCUGCGUUGUAUUAGCUAGUUGGUGAGGUAACGGCUCACCAAGGCGACGAUACAUAGCCGACCUGAGAGGGUGAUCGGCCACACUGGGACUGAGACACGGCCCAGACUCCUACGGGAGGCAGCAGUAGGGAAUCUUCGGCAAUGGACGGAAGUCUGACCGAGCAACGCCGCGUGAGCGAAGAAGGUUUUCGGAUCGUAAAGCUCUGUUGUAAGAGAAGAACGAGUGUGAGAGUGGAAAGUUCACACUGUGACGGUAUCUUACCAGAAAGGGACGGCUAACUACGUG